CCCCCCCCCCACCUCCAUCAUCUUCUCCAUUUAGCUCGCUGAGAUUUCUUCUUGCUGGAUGCGUACGGAUCGUGGCACCAUCCCAGCGGUUGAUCUGAGCACGGCUGGUCUUACAAGCUUUUAACACUCCUAAAGAGAAACUCUGGACUGUUUGGUAUUUACUGGACAUAACAAGGCCUUUGAUGUAGCCAGUGUUCUUACUCACCAGAAGCAUCAACAUUUAAUGAGACCUGCUAUUUGCUUCUUUUAGGAGCCAUGAUUUUUUUUUUGAUAAAAGCAAAUUGUGUUCACCGGUAGAGGUGGUCAGGGGUUCGGCGUCACCUGCGCGUGUUCUCUGUGAUGCACCGCUGCAGCCGAGCCCUUUGUGUGUGUGACGUGACGUGUUCAUUAAAACAGACCCUCUUAAUCAGCACCACACAUGUCAUGGGAGCACAGAGCCUGCAGCUAAAAACCGGUGCAUAAUUUAUAACUGCAGGUCAGGCUGUGCAAUGAGUGUGUAUUAUGUCAACAAAGAUGCACUGCUCUCCCGUCAUUCUGUAUUUACUUUACACCUUGAUGCAUUUUGAAUGCAAAACUUGAACAAAACCCUUCAGACGAGACUUUAAAAUAAUAAUAAUAAAAUCUCAGCUCACAAUACAUAUUUAGUGGCUUCGUGUUCAAAUGAGAUCCUGACGGAGGCACCUUUUUUUCCCCGUUUGUCAGUGUGAUGGAGAGAACGUGUCACAGUGUGACUCUGCAGGUGUUUAAACUGUGGUGAUGUAAUUAGUCUCAAGGGGAAUAGAAACAAGAGCUCCACAGUCCUUGAUUUGAUCCCUUGGUUAUUGAUUUCUCAGUCUGCUUCUAACAGAAAUAAUUGCCACAUGUAAUGUAUUAUUCAAUUACAAGACACUGCUCUCAAGUUUGGGUUUGAUGGUCCUUUUUGAAUCCCUGAGACCUAUAGAUAAUUCAACACUGUCAGCCCAUUAAGCAGCGCGAAUAUUAAAAGGUAUGCGUUAAUCCUGCCUAUUUAUUAGAGACGGCGACAUUCAGCAAAACUUGAAACUUUCCCCAUUUUCUUCCUUUGUAUAGUUGAAGGGAGUGGGCUUAACUCUGGUUCAGAUUCAGAGCCGCUCUUAUUUUGAAAAUGGUUUUACAGACAAAAACAGGAAACACUGAGAUGCAUGUCUGUUUAUAGGAGGAUCUUUGUUGGCACCUUUGUUCGCACAGGCUGAAAACGGCCCGUCAAGACACGAGGGUUUGCGGGCAAAAUUCCCCAAAUAUAAACACUUUCACGCCUGAAAACAGGAGGAGGUUCAGAGAUAAUCUGUAUUGACGACAAAAUUAAAGCUAUUCAAAGUCUGUAUGACAUCAGGAUGACAAACGUUGGUCUGAUUUAUCGGUGCGUCGGCCACAAAUCUGCCGGAGAGACAUUUAUUCCUAUUUAAUAGAAAGCCCUGGAACCUUCACUCAUGAAAAAUGAAAGGCUUUCAAAGGUCUGGAGGCCUACGAUUAUUUUAUUUCAAGGAAAGUUGGGCCGAUCUCUUCUGCAAAACAGAAAGCCGUGGUCGUGCUCAUAGCAGGAGUCAGACCUGGCCAGCAGACACAGAUUCACGUCAACCAUGGGUGAUUGCCAAAGAAACGGCGGAUUCUCAGUGCGAAUGCAAAGUCAGGUAAGCCUUCCUUAUUUACUUGAUGUUCACGAUAACAAUAUGGCUUAGUGGAUUUUAAACUUGAUGUUUUAAAAACCCUAAAUAACAAAUGCCCAAUCACAAUGACUUACCAUGAACAAACUACUGCAGGAAACCAGGCUUUCUUUGGAGCGUCUGGGUUGCCAACAACCAUCUCUUUCGUUUCCCGUGGUCGUUUACGGAGGAAAACAAUGAAAAAGUAACUUUUUACCAAGCCUCCAACGACCGCACAGCUAGAGUGAACCGUCUGCUGUGAUAAAUCUUCAUCCAAACGUGCAAAACAAACAAACAUUGACGUGAUGAAAUAGCCUCCUAGCACAGUAGGACUGAAAGAUUGUUCUUUAUUUUCCAAAAGAACUUUAAUACACACCAAGAGUCACUCAACACAUACACAUUUUUUUCACUCAGCUUGCACUCUUUGUGUUAAGUCUGAGUUUUUGUCCAAGUUUCUGUUUACCAUACUGACCAAAGCAGUGGUGUGGACUCGAGUCACACUUGAGUCAUUAUUUUAAUGACUUCUGACUUGACUUGAUGAAAUCUAUGAAGUGACUUGAUUGACUUGACUCGGACUUGAACACCAAUGACUUGCGACUUGAAUCGACUUGCAUCUGUUGACUUGAUGAUGACUUGAGCAUAUUUGAUAUUUUAGCACAAAAGUGGCUCGACAUGGACAAAAAUCAUAAAUCAUUCUUCGGUCUGGGUUUGAUCUUGUACUGCUGAAUGCAGCAGCACUUUGUUUACAAUCAGUUUCUGUUGCACUUUCUGCUGUUUGAGCAAAUAAAUGAAGCUUUAUUUCUGGAAUUUAUUUAUUAUCAUUGUCAUGAAAUUGAAGCUGGACAGAUGACUUGAUUAUGACUUGGAAAUUCAAAGUUAAGGACUUGGACUUGACUUGGACUUCCACAUCAUUGACUUUGGACUCAACUUGGACUUGGUUGUUUUUGACUUGACUCGAGACUUGAGUUGAAAGACUUGUGACUUACUUGUGACUUGGUCGCACCUCUGGGCCAAAGUACCCAAGACUUACGUUGGGUAUAAAUAUACAGGACGUUCAAGUAGUUGAGCAGCAAACUUUCAUGAACACAUCGAAAAUACUUUUACAAGCUUAUUUUGCAUUGAAAUGUCAAUGAAAUGUUUGAGUUUAUCAAAUGGUUCCAAUAGCCAAUCACAUGUUAUGGGUCAUAGAUAAACCUUAGAGCAGGGGUGUCCAAUCCUGGUCCUUGAGGGCCGGUAUCUAGCACGUUUUCGUUUUAACCUGCUUCAACACACCUGAUUUCAAUCAGCAGGUGAUUAACAGGCUUCUGCAGAGCCUGGUGAGCUGCUGCACAGGCGAUUCAACCAGCUAAUCAAGCGUAUUGAAGCAGAAAAACCACAAAACCUGCUGGUUAUCUUCUUCCGGCGCUCACAGGGAGCAAACGCUUCUGCCUUUUCCCCCCUUAUCUGUGUUUUCCCAAGGCUCUUUUUUUUUUGUCCCGUCUGCCUACAGAGCGCUUCUCUGCAUUUCCUCUGCAAUCACCUUUUUUUUUCAACAUGGACUUAAUUAAUUGGUCAUUCAACGCGAUUGAUAAGAUUUUUUUCUACAAUGAGGACGGAGGAGGGGGCUCACGCUUGUCCUCAGGGGACACAUGCAGCGGGAUAUAUGUUCGAUUCCUGGAAGAAGUGGAAUAUCAUCUGUCUCUCUCAGCUGUCCAUUGAGGACCUCGAAGAUAUGUGGAUAUUUGGCCUGAUGAUCGUUGGAUUUCUUCUGAUUGGAGUGGGAGGAUAUCUGGCUUUCCGUAAAAUUGGGAUGACGGGAGCGAUUGGAAGGCGACCCGCAACCAUGGACGGCACCGUCCGUGUGGAUACCUCACAGACUGGGACGUUGCUCGAGGCGAAUCGCAAGCUGGACAAUGUCUUAGCUGCGUUACCGGUGUUAGCGUGCAGGAUUGAUAACAUCUCGGAAAGGGUCACCGGACGGUGUGGAGAUGUUUAAUCACUGAAUUGGCUUCAAUGGAGGACUUGAAUGAUCAAUACAGACUUAAGGCAGAGAGGAAAAAUUAUCUCUGUCUGACCCAAAACAAAGUUCUGUUAUCGAAUCUGACGCCAUAAGCAGCCUUGGAGUUGCAUGCAAAACCCCCACGCUGGAAGGAAUGCAGACAAAUGCUGUGAAUCUCUAUCCACCCACCCCCCCGCCUUCAGAUUGAGGUCUCCACCGAGGUCAUCAAGCUGAAGGACUCACUGCUCACUGUGCUUCCCCAUGACCUCCCUCCCACCUGCGGAGCCAGCUGGUUGAGCGCCAAACAGGCUGCCCCCGCUGAGGAACCAGGAUCCCAGCCCCUCCCCCCUACCUACCGGGUCUCAUGUUGUGAACUGUGACGUUUGUUGCUUACAUGUCGGGUGUUUUUUUGCAUUGGAGUGCUACACCCUGCUGGUGUAACCCUGUUAAUGCCUUUUUUUUUCUCCCUCCCUGAACUUCCCUCAUGUAACACCCUCUUCAUCUAUCUAUUAAGGUAGCGCGACUCAUGUUGCGAAUGACCGCAGUCACCAAUUCUUGUUAUGUGUCUUACCCACGUAUGUCUGAUCUUUGAAUUGUGUGUGCUGAAACUGAAUUUCAUUUCUCUGUAUGUCCUGCACAUGUGGUAGAAUAUGACAAUAAAUGACUUUGGUUACCGGCCCUCCAGGACCAGGAUUGGACACCCCUGCCUUAGAGCAACUUCAUUUAAGAGAGGCAGAUAAAAGCUAGUUUAAAAUAUCUUCAAAAGAUUCUCAUGUAAAAUAUAUGAAAAUUAUAUGUUACAAGUUUUCAUGAAUAUUUCGGCCAAAGUACUUCCUUUCAUCGAAAGAAGCCAGUUGAGGUGGCUCGGGCAUCUGGUCAGCAUGCCUCCUGGACGCCUCCCUGGUGAGGUUUUCCAGGCACGUCCAACCAGGAGGAGGGCUAAAGGAAGACAGGACACACUGGAGGGAUGCUUCUCGUAUGGCCAGGGAACGCCUUGGGAUUCCCCCGGAAGAGCUGGCCCAGGUGGCUGGGGAGAGGGAAGUCUGGACCUCUCGACUUAGGCUACUGCCCCGCGACCCGACUCCGGAUAAGCGGAUGAAAAUGGAUGGAUAUUUCAGCAAAAUUAUGAAAUUCCAGUCAGAAAUGCUGCAAAGACAAUUAAUGCAGAAUACAUUUUCUGCAAAUAAUCAUCAAAUUGUAGCUAAAUAACAAUGUCAUGGAAAUGUAUGGUAGUGUAAAGGUUUAUAGACAAACAUUUCCAUGAACAGUUUUUUUUUUGUCUUUCUGAGAUUUGAAUUGGUACAAGAUUCAGCAACCUGUCAUGUUGUGGAGAUGGAAACGGUCCCAAAGGCAACAGAGCAGGCACAGGGUUCAGGUUGGCAGGUUUUAAAUAAACAGUUAAUUUGAAUUGUCCUUCCCUUAAGGGUGGCACCAAAUGCCCAACACAGGAAUGAAACACAAAAAGGAGUGGGGACAGGAACACAGGAUGCUGGAGCUCCAUGGAUGGAGGCAGGAAUGCUAGAAGGUGGAACUCUUUGGGCAGAUCAAGUGUGGCAACACGGCUGGGGCUCCUAGACAGGGUGACACAGCUGGGGCCUCAGGGCAGUACGGCUGAAGUCUAAGGGCAGGGUGGCAUGGGCCCCCAGGAAGGGUGACAUGACUCUGAAGAUGGCUGGAGCUCAGCUGGGGCCUCUGGGUGCAGCAACAGUGACCCCAGUCUGGGUGAGCAGCAGAGGUGCAGAGGUCUCCGACCACGUGGGAACACAUGGGAUGUAUCGGAUUGCUCUCGGUGCUCUCUCAUAUAUCUUCACUACUCACCAGAGAAACAAAAAAAUAAAAACUCCAACCUGCUCACCGCUGGGUCCUUUGUGGUCAGAUCCUUCUGUCUGGUAUCAUGUCCCCUUAUUAUUAGGUUACCCUGCAUACAGUUUAGCUAUCAGGCAACAUUUAGUAAGAGAGCAAUUAACUAAUUAAGUUUUAUAUCUGGUAAUGUGAUAUUUGUGAUACUAUUUAACUGAUGGUAAUAAUAUUUUACCUCCCCACUGUCUUCAUGGGUGACCCCGCAAAGAAAGUUGACCAUUGAGCAGAAUUGAUGGUUUAUCCCUUGAGGUGGCAGGGGUGAGGUGGUGCUCACUCCUCCCCCCAGCCACGUGGACCCCAAGGGAUAAACUAUUAAUCCUGCUCAAUGGUCAACUUUCUUUGCGGGGUCACCCAUGAAGACAGUGGGAGGGAUACUAAAAAUAAUAUAUACUAAUAUUGAAGCUAAAUAUGUGAAUUAGUCUUGUUUCACAUCUCGUGCUCUGAUUUUUUUUGGGUGAACAAAGGUGUGCAUGCAUUUUCUAAGCUAAAGGAAGGGAUUUCCUCAACAUUUGUUCUAACUUCUACAUUUGACUCUUGCAUCAUAAAGUUUCCUGUUUAGGUCAGUUUGCGUUCUGUGUUUUUCCAGCAGCUGACAUGGUUUAGGCGGUCUGUUUUGUGACACAUCAGGUGAGUAAAACCCUUCAUAUUGACCCGUUUCUCCUCUGAUCGCAGGUUAACACUAACAGCUUUGUUUAGCUCUGAGGCAGCAUCCGUUCUUGUGCUGAAAUCCCUGCUCUCCCAUCCCUGUGCAGCCCUGUGUGACACGCUUUUAAUCAUCAGCCAUCCAACACUUGUUUACAGCUUUGCUUCCAAGUCAUGUUCCGUUAAUACUGACUCCUUUUAAUAUUUAUCGUCGGUGUUAAUUGGUUUGAUGUCGCUACACUGGUGCUGCUGUCGUCUCGCUUGUUGAGCUGCCCUCACCGUUGUUUCAAAGUCCUUAUUAUCUCCAUAUUCAAGUCCUGGUCAUUAAAUUUUCACUUUCCAUUUUCAUCAGAAUGAAGCUGAUUUUCUAAAUCCAAGGGAACCGCAGAAGACUCAAACCCUGCAAGCAAUCACAGGGGAGGCGCAUCGUCUGUAUAAAUUAUCAGGAAUAUGAACCCGAUCGAAGAUGUUAAUUGCUCCAAUGGUUCGUUAUAUGAGGAGUUGCCAUGCAUUUCAUGCAGCGAUAAUAAAAAUGAAUUUCUGAACAAAGGGAUCUUAAAAUAAUAUCUAGUCUUUGGAGAAUACACACAUCAAAAGAAUAAUUCAGAAGCUUUGAAAUUUGUGGUCAGAAACAUUAAGCAGUAGCCCUGUGAAUAUUGUACUCUAUUCAAGUUUGUCAAAGAAAAAACAGUUAAUUAACAGUUAUUACAGCCCUUUUCAACCUAAAUUUGACUUUCAAAUAUUAGCUCUUAUAUAUAAACUUUGCUUCAGGCAUCUGCAAAUUAACUUAGUGUGUCGUCUCUAAUUAGGUCUCAUUGAACCCAUGGCAACCCACACACAAUAAUAUUAAUAAUUCAGCACUGUAAGAUGUAUUUAAGUGUAGUUAUUAGUUGGAGUUUUAUUCACAUUGUGUUAAAUUGAAACAAAUCACCUUUGCAGUUUAGUACCGCCAUAAUAGCAGGUUGGUAAUUAGCUCUGCGAUGAGGUGAUCAUAAAUAUUCAUUUUUAACAAGCGUUUGGUGUAAUUCAGGCUUGAAUUUUGAGUUGAGUCAGAUUAGGCGUGAUCUUUUUGGUGGAAUAAAGUUUUAAACAAUCAAUAAAUAUUUUUGGUAAUCUAAAGCACAUACAUCACUUUGUUGUGUAUGUUUAAAUAAAGUGUGGUGCAUAAAAACCUGCCUUUUAGUCCUCACACUCCUCUUUUCUCCACCUACUUGCCCUCCCAUCUUCAUCCUCCUGCCAUCUCUCUCUGUCAACCAUGAUUUUGCCUCCUGCCACUGAUCAAACGCACCUGCCAAGCCCUGCUAACGUUCUCGAGCAUGUUCGUUAAUUACCCACAAAGCCUUGCAGAUUUAUACUCCUAAUGGGAGAUUUGCCUCAAAUUGGGGGCAGGGUUGUGUUGCGUUACAAUGGUAUUUAUGUGUUCACUUGGGAAGGGAUCUCCAGGGAAUGUGUGCAUUAUAAAUGUUUUAAGACAAACAAACCUCUCAUUUUUCUCAUUUUAGUAGUAUGUUCUCUUUCUUGUAGUAUUUAGCAAAUGCUAAACAACCGCAUUUAUAAUGGCUCAGAGAUGCUGUUCAAAUCAAGGAGUCUGACCUUUGCAAGGAACUUUUAUCUGCCAGAUCAGAACAAUUAGGGCAGUUAUGAUUCCACUUGUAAGUAAUAUUUAUCCUAUAUAUUAAAGCUUGUCUGCUGCUUUUUGCUUUUAUCAUUUUCACACUGAGAAACGUCCAUAUUUACUUUCCAUUUUAGUUAAAUACUACAGCUGGUUUAAGGAAUGUGAUUAUUUUGGACUAGUCCAGCAUCAUUAAUUCUUAAAACAGGACAAAUAUAUGAGAUCUUGAUAUUGACAAUACAUUUAGACAAUGUGCUGUGGGCCAUUACAUGUUUUUUCUGUUAGGCUAAUAUUACAUUUCAGAUAGCGAUUUCUAUACCAACUCAGCUAUUUUACUUCUUUGUGUGAUUGAUGGUCAUAAAGACCAAAAACUGCAGGAACCAAGGAACAGAUGAAGUAGCAAAAGCCUCAAAUACAAAAGGGCAACUGGAAACGUAAAAAAUCAGGAGCACACAAGGAAACCAGGGAACCAAAUGACAUCAAGGUAACUAAAUCUUACAAUACGAAUGCCCAAAAUAAAAAAAAUGAGGCUAUAUAAAGGUUGAAUUUUGAGUGAAAAUUAGUUAACGGAAAGCAGGCCAAAGUGAGCUGAACCAGAGAGAACUGAGGGCAACAAUGAGAUGAGACGUGGCAAAACCGAACCCGUACUGAACACUGCGGACCUACAUGCAAUAAAACAAAGGAAAUUCGUGUAAAACUACAAAACAACACAAAAAUCCACAAAUAAUGAAAAAUAGCUGCAGUUGAGUUCUAAGGGCCUUGAAAUACUUGCUGUUUGACGAAGUGAACGCGUGUUUAAAGGGGCUGCCAUGCGAUACUUGCGUUGAUUUGAAGCAUCAUUUGUGCGCGUUCCACAAAAUGAACAUGCUGCGUCCAAAUGCUGCAAUAUACGAGUAACCAGUAGGUGGAGUUGACCAAACGAGCGAGACACACUCACCAUGGUGACUCCUUCUCUGGUUUUGAGGUCUUUCAUACCAUCUGGGGUACCGCUACUGUCUGUUUUUCUGUCGUGAACUCAACAUUAACCAGUUACUUUUCUAUUGAUGCCAUGUUUUUUUGGUUGUACCUACAAACCCGGCUCUCUGUUCAGUCUGAGUAGUCUAGUGUGCCACAUUCAUGAGUCAGCAAAGGACUGAACACACAUCCUUGAGGAACACCUGUGAUGAGGGUCUUUUGUAAAAGGCAUACUGCCUGUUGUCUUUCUAAGAGUUUAACAAGAAUGAAUCACCGUUUAUGUUUUCUGGUGGCAACUGCACACAGCUAUUUCAGUUUCAUAUUUCACUUUAUAGGAGCCUUUUUUGGAGAAUUGCUCUGGUUCAGAGAUCUGUGGCUGAAUGAGCCAAAUGUUAGAAAUUUUCAAUAAUUAGCAUCAUUGAGACAACAAAAGCUGGAUUCAAGAUGAGGAUGUGGGUGAGGUCACAUACAUAGAUCCAUGGUGCUCCAUCAACCGAAUGAAGGCGUACUUUUGAAUACAAAAGGAUUUUAAUGUCAAGAGUGUUUUUUCUUCCAUAACUUUGAAAUGUGAAAAUUAUGAGAAACACUUAUUUCUGUGUGGGAUUAAUAACUGCUGCAUUUAGUAAAGCUUCAAAUGAUGCACAAAUAACUCAAAUACAUAAUUCAGUUGAAGACAUAUGAAUCAUUUUUUACUUGCUGCUUUGAAGGGAAUGGGGUCAGUUAUACUGUUGUGUGUAGAUAUUUAUUUUUCUUAAAAAACAAACAAACAAAAAAGUCCAGCUGAGCCAUGACUCCAAGGCCUCCGUGUUAAGGGCUUCAUCUGGGUCUAGUUUGUGAGUGUAAGCAUCAAAUUUCAUUUUUGUCGGUUGAAAGCAGUCUCUGGGGAGAGUGUUUACUGCCUUUCCAUUUAAAAGAGAAACAAGUUUUCCUUAAGCCUGCUGCUUUCUGCUUGGUUAGUUCCCCCAAUGCUGCUCUAAUGGAAGGCAACCCACUCUGCCAGUUCUCAGCAGCAGUAACAGCGGUCUAGUGAAGGAAAAGAAGAACACGUUGUAGAUGUGCUUGAAUCCUCCUAAAAACAAACAAGCUCGACUUUCAGUUGAGAGAAUACUUGGUCACCAUGCAAUCAUUAGUGGGGGCAGUUUGAACUCGGGUCUUUAGUUGGUGACAUUUUUUAUUGACCUGUUUCAAGUACAAACAUUUAACGUUUUUUUACAGUGAAAAUUUGCACACACAGGAUAGCUAGAAAUUCUGCUUUAUGAAAUGUUAACAGUGAAGACACUUCUACAUUUGUUAUGUUUGUGUAAACAGCAUCCGAUUAAGGUCAAGACCCAGAGUGUAGACUAGUUUAAUAACAACGUCUUUAAAGCUGCAAUGGUAAAUUUGGAAAGAAAUGAGCUUUUCAAGCCUCUCAACAUUGUUCUAACACAGUUUAGCUAUAAAUAAUGCAAUGCAAUCCAAUGCAAUAGAAUUAUAUAAUAAUAUAAUAUAAUAAUGCAAUGCAAUAAAAAAAUGACAGUGGUUGUCUUGCCUCUGCCAAUAACACGUUUUGGACCAAAAGCGACCAUUGGACCAUAUGGUUGUCGGUCUCGAUGAACCGCUGCAGUUCUCUGGCUCCUCCACUCAUUACGCACACAUGUAUUUAGCAACAGAACACAACUGAUGUGAGAGGUUCGCGACUCAAAGAUAUCAGAGGAGAAACAGCCGGCUGCGACCACUUCAACUUUAAGACAAACUACCAGAGUCCCAAAAGGAAAAACACCGUUUGAAGUCACAGACAACAAAAGAUGUUUGGACAUAGAAAACGGCGACUGGUGUUUAGCUCAAUUCCUCCGAGAUCACGGGUUGCAGGGAUGAGCCCCACGGGGGGGAUACCCGAGGGGAGGGGUGAGUGUUCUGGGAUCGUGUUCAAAACCUAGUGUCACGGUCUGCCUUAAUCAUCCUUAAAGGAGACCUGGCAUUCUUCAGUUUUGUGUUACAGGUGGGCGUGUCAAUGAGCUCCAGCUGAUCCUGAUCUCGUUAAUGAGAGGGCCAGGGGAUUUAAGGAGCGGUGUGACACAACUCCAGUGCCGUUUGAUACUCUCACCAAGGUUACCUCACCUUGAAUCACCCACCUAUGCCUGGAGUUGUACUCGAGUUCACGUCGUUCAGGAUCCUCUGGCCUCCGCUCUCCACCACCCACCUGUCUUCCAACCAACAUCUUGGACACCUACUACCGUCUCCUGCUCAUCUCCACCUCAUCCAUUGGUUCAGCCGCCUCUUCACUACUAGACCUGACCCAGUUCAACAUCACCAGCCCCUGGUCUCUGACAAUACCGGUUCCUUCCCGUUCCCGUUUUGGAGCAGCGCCUUUAGUUCUACCUUUUCAUCAUUUAAAUAAACAAUUAUAUUAUUUUUACUUACCUUUGUUAUCUGCGUGUGGUUCUUCAUGUCCUGGGUGAAACUCCUUACCCACAACAUGACACCUAGCUUGUUUUCAGACUCGCUAUAGCAGCUUUAAUACAAAAUGAAAGGUUGACGAAGCAAAAGACAAAAAAUGUACUAAAGAAUGGAACACAAGAAAAUGACCAAUGCCAGUGUAGGGUGGGAGUGUGAUGUUAUUUAAAACAGAGAGCUGAUUGGCCAAUGAGGAACAGGUAAGGGAAGCUAAGCAGCUGAGGGAAGAACAAGGAGAAGUGGGUCAGGGAACUGAGACCACUGCAAAAACCUAAAAAACCUAAAAACGAUAAUGUUUUUCUUGACAACUAGACUAAUAUUGCUCUACACCCAAGGAUCAAAAACAGAUUCUUUAUAGAAAAAAACUCCCAACUUUUUUUUUCUCAAACUUUGUUUAGAAACAUGAAAGUGUGUGUGUGUGUUUGUGACCUCCACGAGGUCACACAUUUGCAUCUUUUUGGUUCAGUGAGCAUCAUUUGACUUGUUGUUUUGAACAUGGCCACUUUGCCAAAUGACUUCCUGUGCUAGACCUUGGCCGACACCACGUUGUGCCACCCUCAUUUUUAAGUGUUCUUUAAAGAUUAAAAUUCUUUCCUAAUUGAAACAAAAUGCAACGACAAGAAUAAAAUGAAUCAACUAUCAAAAUGACUCGAUUCUAAAUUUUUGAUUAAACAAUUAAUGUUAAUCUUUUGAAGAGAUCCCUCUAAAGCAGGGGGCUCCAGGUGCCCGCUGGCACCAUGGUGCCCCCAGGAACUAUUUAAGAUGCCCACAGGCAUUUUCUCUAAAUAACACAAGCCCUACAAUAAACAAAAAAAUCUGCUGUCAUCUUUUUAAUCGCAAAUGCCAUAAUAUAGAUAUAAAACUACAAUAAUCUUUAAAUAGUUUAUUACACUUUUUUGUCAGCAAUUGUUUUUUGUUCUUAGCAUAACAAAAAUCUGGAUUUACACAUUUCAUCAGACCAAAAAUGUAGAUUGAUGCUCUACUGUUCUGGUUUAUAACAGAUUAGGCUUGGACAGUGUUAACGCUUUAAAGAGAAGGUGAUUUAACAAACAACAUCUCAGAGACUUCUAUCUUUAAAUCACCCAAAGAUAAAAAAAAUCAAA